UACGGGGGGGGCAAGCGUUGUUCGGAAUUACUGGGCGUAAAGGGCGCGUAGGCGGCCUGCUAAGUCACACGUGAAAUCCCUCGGCUCAACCGGGGAACUGCGUGUGAUACUGGCGGGCUUGAAUUCGGGAGAGGGAUGUGGAAUUCCAGGUGUAGCGGUGAAAUGCGUAGAUAUCUGGAGGAACACCGGUGGCGAAGGCGGCAUCCUGGGCCAACACUGACGCUCAUGCACGAAAGCGUGGGGAGCAAACAGG
rnacentral:rRNA from 1 species